rnacentral:lncRNA from 1 species
AAACAGAAGUCAGUAAGGAGUGUGCUGAGAAGUGAGGAGAAGAAUAAAACUGGAUAUGUGAUGACGCCCAAUGGAUACCUGCACUUGUGAAGUCCCUGUCUCAUCGAUCUAAGCGAAGCUAUAUGUGACUUGCUUUGGCCAGUGGCCAUUACCAGAUGAGAUGCCCGCGUACACAGGAAAAGCCCUUUUGAAUUGGGGCUUGGACAUUCUUGCUCUUGAUAACACUGCUGCCAUGUAGAAGCCUGGGUUAGCCCAUCUGAGGACACGACCAUGAAG